ACCCGCCGAAUAUGGAUGUUGGUGUGGGUAGAGGUAAUUUUUGACCUUCGCGAAAUCACUUCGUGAUUCGCGUAAUUUCCGGCGACGAUCAUAAAAUCUCGCGCUUUGAUCUGAGGAUCCAAGGACUUAGCUCGUUCACUUCGUUCUGGUCUACGGAAGAGGCAAGAGCAGUCCGGAAUUUCUAAAUCGCGUCGUGGUGUGUUCUUGAAGUUAGCUGUAAUCAAGUUAUUAGUGCAUUCUGGCGGUUAGGUGGUAGUGUAGACUUGCGGAUAAAGCGAUUGUGGCAAGUUGCAAGGCCCGACACACCACCCACACAGUUGGAGACUGCUUUUGACCCCGUUUACCUGCUACGAAGGACGUCCCGGUGGUACACGUGGACCGGAGAGGGCAGCGCACGUUUUUUUCCCGCGCCCUUGGCAGGGCGGCAACAACCGGACCGGUUAGAAACCGGUAAUCAAGUUUAGACAUCCUUUUUCGUGAGUGACGGCGUGCAGAGCGUGACACGGUCGCGUAAAAAGUUUUUCCCCCGGCCGGAUUCGAACCGGCGACCUUUGGAUCGGGAGGCGCACACCGUAGCUCGACGCCACCGACGGCUGUACCCCGUCGAGCAGUCCACAAUUUCGCGCCGGAGGCGUCAUCGACAACGGCGACAUCGAUGAACGACGCGUGAACCAUUUCGGAGUCCGUGGGAGAGACCGCGCGUGACACGCGUGGCGCCAAAGCAGCAGUAGUGGAGAACCGCCGACGCCUCCAAGUUGGUAUGCAACGAACAGAGUGAGUAACAUGCAUGUUCCAUUAUUUUUCCCCAUGCGCAUGGCGAAUGAAAGCCCCUAGCCUUAGCCCAUCCGCUAGCGUGGCCAAGCCGAUAGCCCUACCGUUCCUUCCGUACGCGUCAGCGAGGUAGUUGGCUUAUUUAUAGAAAGAGUGAAUGCCGCACCAUAUAGUGAACACCGCACCA